AAAUUGAAGAGUUUGAUCAUGGCUCAGAUUGAACGCUGGCGGCAGGCCUAACACAUGCAAGUCGAGCGGAAACGAGUUGUCUGAACCUUCGGGGGACGAUAACGGCGUCGAGCGGCGGACGGGUGAGUAAUGCCUAGGAAAUUGCCCUGAUGUGGGGGAUAACCAUUGGAAACGAUGGCUAAUACCGCAUGAUGCCUACGGGCCAAAGAGGGGGACCUU
rnacentral:rRNA from 1 species